CAGCCGCCGCGGUAAUACAGAGGUGGCAAGUGUUGUUCGGAUUUACUGGGCGUAAAGGGUCCGCAGGCGGUCCUGUGUGUCGGAUGUGAAAGCUCACGGCUUAACCGUGGAAUUGCAUUCGAAACUACAGGACUAGAGUACAGGAGGGGAGAGGGGAAUUCAGGGUGUAGCGGUGAAAUGCGUAGAUAUCCUGAAGAACACCGGUGGCGAAGGCGCCUCUCUGGACUGAUACUGACGCUCAUGGACGAAAGCUAGGGGAGCGAAGAGGAUUAGAUACCCUCGUAGUCCUAGCCGUAAACGGUGUGCACUUGAUGUUGGAGGUUUACCCCCUUCAGUGUCGGAGCUAACGCGUUAAGUGCACCGCCUGGGAAGUACCGCCGCAAGGUUAAAACUCAAAAGAAUUGACGGGGGCCCGCACAAGCGGUGGAGCAUGUGGCUUAAUUCGAUGCCACGCGAAGAACCUUACCAGGCCUUGACAUUGUAACUGCAUCGACCAGAAACGGACGUAGCUUUCGAGGGUGUUACACAGGUGCUGCAUGGCUGUCGUCAGCUCGUGCCGUGAGGUGUUGGGUUAAGUCCCGCAACGAGCGCAACCCCUAUGUUUAGUUGCCAGCACGUAAUGGUGGGAAUUCUAAACAGACUGCUGGUGUAAAGCCAGAGGAAGGUGGGGAUGACGUCAAGUCAGUAUGGUCCUUAUGCCCUGGGCUGCACACGUGCUACAAUGGGUGGUACAAAAGGAAGCAAUACCGCGAGGUGGAGCCAAUCCCCAAAACCAUCCCCAGUUCGGAUUGGAGUCUGAAAUUCGACUCCAUGAAGUUGGAAUCGCUAGUAAAGCUGUAUCAGCUACGACAGCUUGAAUACGUUCCCGGGCCUUGUACACACCGCCCGUCACAUCAUGGAAGUCUGCUGCACCCGAAGUCGCUGAUCUAACCUGUUAAAGGAAGAAGGCGCCGAAGGUGUGGCCGGUAACUAGGAUGAAGUCGUAACAAGGUAACCGUA
rnacentral:rRNA from 1 species